UACGGAGGGUGCGAGCGUUGUCCGGAAUCAUUGGGCGUAAAGGGCGCGUAGGUGGCCCGGUCAGUUCGUGGUGAAAGCGCGGGGCUCAACCCUGCGUCGGCCAUGAAUACUGCCGCGGCUGGAGCACUGUACGAGGCAGGCGGAAUUCCGGGUGUAGCGGUGGAAUGCGUAGAGAUCCGGAAGAACACCGGUGGCGAAGGC
rnacentral:rRNA from 1 species